UGGCACUGUAGCUUCACGAAAUAGUGCCAAAGACAUUCAUUGGGGGUGUCUUUUUACUCAGAAGACUUAGCUGAGCAUAAUCUGGGGGGUUUGGACUUAGUGGCACAUGUGAAAUAUACAAAGUGCCCAGCAAAAAUGCAAUCUGUAUGUAAAAAAUGCCCCAAUUUUACGCCAAUAUUUAGCAGAGGUUGGUGGUGAAAUGGCUACGUAGAAAGUGUCAAAACAACCUUAGGACAAUAGCCUGUGAUGUCUACUUUAUAUAAAUAUAUACUUUUGU